AGUAGUUAUGUUCUUGAAACUUAAAAAAUUUGGCGGUAUUUUAGUCUAUUCAGAGGAACCUGUUCUGUAAUCGAUAAUCCACGUUGGACCUUACUUAAGUUUGUUUAUCAGUUUAUAUACCGUCGUUAUAAGAAUAUUUUAUAAGAAAAUUAAUUUUCUAGAAUUUUAACAAAAAUUUAUAUCAGAUCAAGGUGUAGCUUAUGUUUAAGUAGAAAUGGGUUACAAUAAAUUUAUUUAAAUGAAUUAAUUUUUGAAAUAGAAUUAUGAAGGUGGAUUUGAAUGUAAAAUUAUAAAGAUAAAUAAUUUGAUUUUAGCUCUAAAAUAUGUACAUAUCGCCCGUCGCUCUUAUUCUUAAGGUAAGAUAAGUCGUAACAUAGUAGAUGUACUGGAAAGUGUAUCUAGAAUGCAAUUUAAAGCUUAAGUAGUAAAGCAUUUCAUUUACAUUGAAAAGAUUUUUGUGCAAUUCAAUAUAAAUUGAAUAGAUUUUAUUUAUUAAUAAAUUUAUUUAUAAUUUUUUAUUUAUUAGAAAUAACUGUAAAGAUUAUGUUUUAGUAUUGUAUAAAGAAUAAAUAAUGUUAAUAAUAGUGUAUUAGUAUUGUGAAAGAAAUUUGAAAUAA
rnacentral:rRNA from 1 species